rnacentral:rRNA from 1 species
UGGUGGAGUGAUUUGUCUGCUUAAUUGCGAUAACGAACGAGACCUUAACCUGCUAAAUAGCCAGGCUAGCUUUGGCUGGUCGCCGGCUUCUUAGAGAGACUAUCAACUCAAGUUGAUGGAAGUUUGAGGCAAUAACA